rnacentral:rRNA from 1 species
CAUCUCCGGGGGUAGAGCACUGUUUCGGCAAGGGGGUCAUCCCGACUUACCAACCCGAUGCAAACUGCGAAUACCGGAGAAUGUUAUCACGGGAGACACACGGCGGGUGCUAACGUCCGUCGUGAAGAGGGAAACAACCCAGACCGCCAGCUAAGGUCCCAAAGUCAUGGUUAAGUGGGAAACGAUGUGGGAAGGCCCAGACAGCCAGGAUGUUGGCUUAGAAGCAGCCAUCAUUUAAAGAAAGCGUAAUAGCUCACUGGUCGAGUCGGCCUGCGCGGAAGAUGUAACGGGGCUAAACCAUGCACCGAAGCUGCGGCAGCGACACUGUGUGUUGUUGGGUAGGGGAGCGU